rnacentral:lncRNA from 1 species
UGUCACAUACAUUAGGAUUUAGAGAAACUCACUAUGACCCUCUCCAAGCCUACUCGUGCAAUGUAUAGGUAGCAUCCCAUACUACUACCUACACUUUGUAGAACCUGUCAAGAAACCAUAAUGAAAUCUCACAUGAUGGGAAGUAAGCAUUUAACCGACAUAGACCAUGAGAGCUUGUCAUGGAAUCCGGUGUCAUGAGUCCC